CUGAGACGCAAGAAACCUCCUAAACAAGAUGCAAUAGAACAUGCAGCUAAGGCCCUCGACAAAAUAUAUGAGUUGGAAGUGAAAUACAUCAACUCAUUUAAAGGUCGUGGAGUGUUUGCCAAGGCUAAUUUUUGCAAAGGAGAUUUUGUGGUGGAGUACAGGGGGGAAUUAAUAAAUUUCCAAGAAUCCCAGAGGAGGAGGGGGUCAUAUCAUGCUCGGUGUGCUGUUUUCAUGUUUGACUUCUACUGGCGGGACAGACUAUGGUGUAUUGAUGCAGCUCUAGAAGAUGGUAGUCUAGGAAGACUAGUCAAUGAUGACCACAACCAUCCAAACUGCAAGAUGCAGAAGGUCAUCUCUGAAGGCAAGCCACACCUGUUUCUUUUUGCUCUGAGGGACAUCAAACCUGGAGAAGAAAUAACAUAUGACUAUGGAGGAAAUGACUGGCCUUGGAGGAAAAAGGCUGGAGGACAAUCAACC